GACGAACGCUGGCGGCGUGCUUAACACAUGCAAGUCGAACGAAGAGCGAUGGAAGCUUGCUUCUAUCAAUCUUAGUGGCGAACGGGUGAGUAACGCGUAAUCAACCUGCCCUUCAGAGGGGGACAACAGUUGGAAACGACUGCUAAUACCGCAUACGAUCUAACCUCGGCACCGAGGAUGGAUGAAAGGUGGCCUCUAUUUAUAAGCUAUCACUGAAGGAGGGGAUUGCGUCUGAUUAGCUAGUUGGAGGGGUAACGGCCCACCAAGGCGAUGAUCAGUAGCCGGUCUGAGAGGAUGAACGGCCACAUUGGGACUGAGACACGGCCCAGACUCCUACGGGAGGCAGCAGUGGGGAAUCUUCCGCAAUGGACGAAAGUCUGACGGAGCAACGCCGCGUGAGUGAUGACGGCCUUCGGGUUGUAAAGCUCUGUUAAUCGGGACGAAAGGCCUUCUUGCGAAUAGUUAGAAGGAUUGACGGUACCGGAAUAGAAAGCCACGGCUAACUACGUG
rnacentral:rRNA from 1 species